rnacentral:rRNA from 1 species
AGGAUGAACGCUGGCGGCGUGCCUAAUACAUGCAAGUCGAGCGGUAAGGCCACUUCGGUGGUACACGAGCGGCGGACGGCUGAGUAACACGUAGGAACGUACCCCAAAGUGAGGCAUAAGCACCAGAAAUGGUGUCUAAUACCGCAUGUGGCCUAACAGGCUAAAGCUCCGGCGCUUUGGGAACGGCCUGCGCAUGAUUAGCUUGUUGGUGAGGUAAAAGCUCACCAAGGCAGUGAUCAUUAGCUGGUCUGAGAGGAUGACCAGCCAGACUGGGACUGAGAACGGCCCAGACUCCUACGGGAGGCAGCAGUAGGGAAUUUUCCACAAUGGGCGAAAGCCUGAUGGAGCAACGCCGCGUGCAGGAUGAAGGCUCUAGGGUCGUAAACUGCUUUUAUCUGUGACGAAUAUGACGGUAGCAGAUGAAUAAGGAUCGGCUAACUCCGUGCCAGCAGCCGC